ACGAACGCUGGCGGCAUGCCUAACACAUGCAAGUCGAACGAACCCUUCGGGGUGAGUGGCGCACGGGUGCGUAACGCGUGGGAACCUGCCUUUUGGUUCGGAAUAACAGUUAGAAAUGACUGCUAAUACCGGAUAAUGUCUUCGGACCAAAGAUUUAUCGCCAUUAGAUGGGCCCGCGUAGGAUUAGCUAGUUGGUGAGGUAAAGGCUCACCAAGGCGACGAUCCUUAGCUGGUCUUAGAGGAUGAUCAGCCACACUGGGACUGAGACACGGCCCAGACUCCUACGGGAGGCAGCAGUGGGGAAUAUUGGACAAUGGGCGAAAGCCUGAUCCAGCAAUGCCGCGUGAGUGAUGAAGGCCUUAGGGUUGUAAAGCUCUUUUACCUGGGAUGAUAAUGACAGUACCAGGAGAAUAAGCCCCGGCUAACUCCGU
rnacentral:rRNA from 1 species